rnacentral:rRNA from 1 species
UGUUUCCCUCAAUGAUAUCAUGGACUACAAAGAUUUUAUUGAGUGGUUUCAGAAUCUUUCCAACCAGAAAGAACUGGAAUGGGGAGCCCUCUGGUGUGCGGUCCAUACAGAAGACGAAGAUGGCUACCUCGUAGAGCCAGACAUUGGUUUCUGUCCACUGCCAUCCGGAAUGAGCAUCAGCUGGGACAGAGAGAAAUAUCCGUACCUGUCUCUUCUGGAUAAUUCAGACCUUAUCCAUGUAGCAGAGGCAAAUGACGAAGAAAUCAUGCAGACUCAUUUUAUCAGUAUGCUUUCUUACAUCCGAGAUCAUGACGAGAUCCUUUCGAUGAUGGGUCAGACGACAGAUUCCCCGAACAGAUAUCAGGAUAUGAUCGAUUAUGUAAAGAAAAACGGUCUGAAGAUCCAUGGCUUUGCAGUCAGCGCAAAGAAAAAGGCGCUUCUUGAAUUGUACCAGGAAGCUAUGGUAUCGUACAUCCAGACAGUACCACAGAAUUGAGAAAGAAGUUAGGGAUAAACAGGUUUUUACAGAUUGAGCAAUGUGCAGAAAUACACAUUGCUCGAUUUUUAUGCAGAGGCUUUUUCAUUACAGAAUUUUGUGAUACAUUGUUCCAGAUCCGCACAAAGCUCCCUGGUUUUUUCUUCAGGAAUGCACAGGAUAUGGAAGCAGCACUGCAAAACCUGCCAGAACAGGGUAUUGAGUGAAAAACGUUCAGGCGCGGCUUUAACCAUUUGAGAGAUCACACCAAUGUAACCAUACAUAGAUGCCAUGGUAAAAUCAUCCACAUCCGAAAUGGGAAGAAUCUCAUCAAAGCUGUUUCGGUAAAGCGUUGUAAUAAAAACAGGAAGAUCUUUCUGUGGCACAUAGACGGGAUAGUCCGUGUAAUAGUCAGUCAGAAAGCGUCCAAGCUUCGGAUCCGUCAGGAUCUGCCCAGGAGUCAGACUACACGAGAUAAGUUGGGUGGUCAAAAGGGAAAGAGCCCAGACCUUCAGUUAAGGUCCCAAAGUGUGCGUUAAGUGGAAAAGGAUGUGGGAUUUCGAAGACAACCAGGAUGUUGGCUCAGAAGCAGCCAUUCAUUCAAAGAGUGCGUAAUAGCUCACUGGUCGAGUGGUCAUGCGCCGAAGAUGUACCGGGGCUCAAACGCGCCACCGAAGCAUGGGAUUGCCUGUUGUGAACACUGCUUUUAGGCUCGCCGAAGGCGACAGAUGUACGCCAGGGGAGCGAGGACACGCUGAAGGCAGUGCUCACAACAGGCAGUGGUAGAGGAGCAUUGAAUCAGGGCAGAAGCUGGAGCGGGAGCACCAGUGGACUUGAUUCAAGAGAGAAUGCCGGUAUGAGUAGCGAGAGGCAAGCGAGAAACUUGCCCGUCGAAAGCCUAAGGUUUCCUGGGGAAGGUUCAUCCGCCCAGGGUAAGUCGGGACCUAAGCCGAGGACGGAAGUCGUAGGCGAUGGACAGCAGGUUGAGAUUCCUGCACCGCCUUGAGAAUGAUGCAAUGACACAGAAGGAUAGCAUGAGCCGGGUGAUGGUCAACUCGGUUUCCAGAGCGAGGGCGUUUGGUAGUGAAGUACGCCAAGCACAUAGCCUGAGCUGAAGAGGGAGCGAAAUUGAAGUAGCGAAGCAUGCGAUUUCACGCUGGCGAGAAAAGUUGCUGGUAUAUCGAAGAGGCGCCCGUACCGCAAACCGACGCAGGUAGGCGAGGUGAGAAUCCUAAGACGAACGGGAGAACCCUUGUUAAGGAACUCGGCAAAAUGACCCCGUAACUUCGGGAUAAGGGGUGCCUGCGAGAGCAGGCCGCAGAGAAUAGUCACAAGCGACUGUUUAGCAAAAACACAGGUAUCUGCGAAAGCGAGAGCUGACGUAUAGGUGCUGACACCUGCCCGGUGCUGGAAGGUUAAGGGAACAUGUUAGAGCAAUCGAAGCAUCGAACCGAAGCCCCAGUAAACGGCGGCCGUAACUAUAACGGUCCUAAGGUAGCGAAAUUCCUUGUCGGGUAAGUUCCGACCCGCACGAAUGGUGUAACGACUUGUGAGCUGUCUCAACAGGGGGCCCGGUGAAAUUGAAGUAUGGGUGAAGAUGCCCAUUACCCGCGACUGGACGGAAAGACCCCGUAGAGCUUUACUGCAGCCUGAUAUUGAGUUUCGGUAACUGAUGCACAGGAUAGGUGGGAGUCUGAGAGACAUGGGUUUCGGCUCGUGUGGAGACGAUGUUGGGAUACCACUCUUCGGUUACUGAAAUUCUAACAUAGCUCUGUGAAACCAGAGGAUGGACAGUGUCAGGUGGACAGUUUGACUGGGGCGGUCGCCUCCGAAAGAGUAACGGAGGCGCCCAAAGGUACCCUCAGAAUGGAUGGAAACCAUUCGAAGAGCGCAAAGGCAGAAGGGUGCCUGACUGCGAGAUUGACAAAUCGAGCAGAGACGAAAGUCGGGCUUAGUGAUCCGGCGGUAUUGAGUGGAAAAGCCGUCGCUUAACGGAUAAAAGCUACCUCGGGGAUAACAGGCUGAUCUCCCCCAAGAGUCCACAU